rnacentral:tRNA from 1 species
GGCGGCGUGCGCGGCGGGUUCCGCGGUCGCCUCCUGCGCGGCGGGCUCCUGCGCGGCCUGUUCCUGGCCGGUCGCCGGCACC